AUGCGGCGGUGUCGGGGCGCGGGGCUGGCGGCGCUGGCCGCGCUGCUGCUCGUGGCUGUGGCCAGAGCCCAGGUACAACAGGAGCCGUCACUGGAGACCACCGAGGGCACCGGCAUCAACAUCAGCUGCUCACACUCCAACAUAGGAACAGGCGAUACGAUCUUCUGGUACCGUCAGCUGCCAGGGCGAGGACCCGAACUCCUCGCGAGCGCUCACAAAGGGGUCAGAGAGCUGCCGGCCAUUGCUGGACACCUGUGGGUGUCGGCAGAUCGGCGUUGGAGCGCGCUGUGGCUCGGGCGGCCCCGGCGCGGGGACGCGGCCGUGUAUUACUGCGCGCUGGGCCACGGGCAGAGGAGCCGGGGCUGCGGCCGGGUUUUUCCAAACACCCUUGGAUGUGAGUCCAGCAUCUGCCCGAAAUAUUAG